ensembl:lncRNA
GGCAGAACUGUAUGAAUGAAGGUUAAGGGCUUCGGUGGAGUGUAACAACGCUUAAAGACGCCUUUAAAAAGGAGAAGGAGAUGGAAAACUUAAGAGAGAAAGAAAAGAAAAUUUUGGAAAUUGGGUAGUGGAAUGAGAGAAUGGAGUGGAACUGUAGAGAAAAGAAGUGGGUGAAGAUGGAGAAGAAGGAAGGUUUCCAGUUCAGGUCUAUCCUGUGCACCUAACUUCUCCCAGGAAUAUAUCACAGCUUCAUCUUCAUGCAUCGCACCGGUCCACCUUUCUUGGAGAGCAGGAUUAUUUGAUGUCGAGGAGGGCCCAAGAAACUUCACUGAAGAUUGAGAUGAAACCAAGUUCUCUGAGGCAUGGGGCAAAGGAAUAGCUAUAAAGGAGACCUGAAGAAAACAAAGUUUCUGAUUUAUGGGAGAAUUUUUGUGGAUGAGGAAUACAAUUUCCCUUGAUGAAGUACUGCCCCAUUCUGCUGAUAAUCUGUGUGAUUGUUUCCGGGGAGAUCAAAGGAUAUAGCAGGACCAACAUUUAAUUCUGGAAUCAGGAUCUCAGAGUUCACCAUCUUGGACUCAUGAAAUUGGGAACAAAGGAAGCCUGAAUGUUUCACCGGUCUCUCUGGUUGGAUGAAGUCUGCAUGAGCCUGAGCAGAAAACAGAUGAGCUUUCUUCCCUACUACUGCCUGUGCUGGUGAAUGAAUGUUCCUGGUCUACUCUUUUGCUGAGGUUGUUGCUAUUUGACAGGUAAACUCUCCGUGUGGUUUUUGACUCUUCCUUCUUCAUCUCACCCUGGCCUCAGUUUCUAUCCCCACAUAAACAUUGAAACUCAAGUCAUUUGGUCAUUUGGAGAAGACCUCCCCCUCGACCCCACCCCUUGCCAACCUCGUAUCUACAGUGUCAACUCACAUAACUUUUUUCAGUUCUCUCUUCUACAUGGCCCUGGGAUUUCUUCUUUCUUUUUUGUGAGCUCAGGUAUAACAUUUAAAAGGAUUUUUAGAAACUAUAUUUUAAGCAGCAGGUCUAAGAGUUUGUUGAGGGUGGUUUAUCUUAUCUUAGCCUAUCAUCUUGCUGGUAGACUUUACCCCCCAUCCUCACCACAUGAUUCUUUUUAAAAAGUCUUUUACUAGGAGAUCACUGUUACUGGCAGGCUUCCCAGGUUGGCUCAGUGAUAAAGAAUCUGCCUGCCAGUGCAGGAGAUGCAGGAGAGUCAGGUUUGAUCCUUGGGUUGGGAAGAUCCCCUGGAGGAGGAAAUGGCAACCCACUCAAGUAUUCUCACCUUUAAAAAUCCCAUGGAGGGGGAGCCUGGUGGGUUACAGUCCACGGGGUCGCAAGAAGUCGGGCACAACUGACCAAGUGAACACAUGCACACACUGUUACUGGAGUAAAAUGAGCGUUGGGCUCCUAUGUCAAGCAGGCUACACUCAUGAGAAGAGAGAGAUUUGGUAAGGAAAGGAAUCUUUGUUACAUUGAGUGUAUAAUGCUGAGCCAUUUCUCUAAGCUUACCAGGUUUUUAGCAUCUUCCCUCACAUGCAGUCUGAGAACAGGGGCUUGAUUAUUGUUUUAGGACUAAUUACAUGCUAGGAGGGAUUAGGGGCAGGAGGAGAAGGGGACGACAGAGGAUGAGAUGGCUGGAUGGCAUCAUGGACUCGAUGGACGUGAGUCUGAGUGAACUCCGGGAGUUGGUGAUGGACAGGGAGGCCUGGCGUGCUGCGAUUCAUGGGGUCGGGUCGCAAAGAGUCGGACACGACUGAGCGACUGAAUUGAACUGAACUGAACUGAACUAAUCCAAUGAGUGAAUUAUUAGAUCUUUUUUGUUUUUUUUCCCCUCUAUUUAUUAGCAUCUCUUCUGUUGACUGGAUCAUGGAAAAGAUGUCAACUCUUAACAAAACUAUUGGGUUGGCCAAAGAGUUGGCUCAAGUUUUUCUGUAAGUGAAAGUGUUAGUCACUCAGUCGUGUUCAACUCUUUGUGACCCUAGGGACUGUAGCUCGCCAGGCUCCUCUAUCCAUGAAAUUCUC